rnacentral:rRNA from 1 species
GACGGAGGAUGCAAGCGUUAUCCGGAAUCAUUGGGCGUAAAGAGCGCGUAGGCGGCCCAGUAAGUCCGCUCUGAAAGUCAGGGGCUCAACCCCUGGAUGCGGGUGGAUACUGCUGGGCUAGAGUCCGGAAGAGGUGAGUGGAAUUCCUGGUGUAGCGGUGAAAUGCGCAGAUAUCAGGAAGAACAUCGGUGGCGAAGGCGCUCUGCUGGACCAUAACCGACACUCAGGGACGAAAGCUAGGGGAGCGAAUGGG